AAGAGACUGUGUUCUGGAAACAAAACUCCCUUAAAAAAUGUUCGCUUCCUUCUGGACUCAAGAUAGGAAAUUUCUGGGUUCCCAACCAGAAAACGUAAAGGCAAAGGAAAAGCUGGAAAGUCCCUUUUCUAAACCUUCUUUAGAGAUAUUUAAAGCAAAAAUAAUUCUCCAUGUCUUCCGGAGGGAGCGCUUCAGGGCCAGGGUUGUUUCCUUGACUUCUCUUGCUGAUUUGGUGGCUUGCGUGGGCUCAUGCGUCCAUCUGCGGUAGGGUGUACAUCCAGAAAAUCAUGGAGUAGGGGCUUUGUCCAGGAUACCACAAAUGAAGGAAUCCAAAUGACCAUCUGUGGGAUAGGACAUUACCAAUGCCUUUCUUUUCUAGGAGAGGAAACUGAGGCUCUUGGGAAGGUGGAAGUUGCACGUGGUUCUCACAGUCAACUGUGCCAGAAUAGGAGGCCAGGAACAACCUCUGUUGGAGAAGGACCCACCAGGCAUCCUUUCAAGAAAGCCAAGGUCCACAAUGCUGCCCUGAUCUCAGACUCAGUGCAGAAGCAGUAUGGAAAGGAUGAGAAGGCAUGAGGAAACCCCAGACAACGGAGCCAGGAAUCUGUCUGCGGAAGGGAGACAUGCUGGAAGGGUCAAGCAGGUGGGCAGGUAUCAGAUGCCACAUGUCUGCGGUGGUGACCCUGCUGCCCAAUGCCAACCUUGCUUCUUGGCAGCAUCUGCUGGACUGUCAGAGGCAUAAUUCAGCCAGAGGGCACACCCGAACCCGUUAGGCAUGGAACACUGAGUAAACAGCCCCUAGGAAUGUCUCUGACUUGAAUUUCAGCUCCUUUACUUGGGAGCAUCUGUCCUCUCUGGUUGUGGAAAAGAGGAAUCGGGGAUAGGGAAGGCUCAGCAUAUAAUGCCCCUUGACUAAAGGAGGCUGUGUGGUCUUGGGGGCAGUGGUUCUUGGGAUGUUUGGUGGGGGUACUGCAGGGACAGGGGGUGGGGAAAGGGGAAACUGAGGGGAAGCCUAUUCCUGGCACCCCCACAUUUCCUGGCUCUCAGCUACUCAGCUGCUAUCUGCUAUCUGCUCCAAACAAUGCAAUUCUGCUUAAAUUUUGUUUGAGAAGGUUCUGUGACUAAAACUUUUGAGAAGCAUUGAACUCAUGGGGAUGUGUAGGAUGAGAGCAAACAAGGUUUCGAGUUCAUACCUGCCAACAGCUUCUGAGUGACCUUCAUCAAAGCUGCUCAUCCUGAGAGCCAGACCUCAGUCAUUUCCAUUACAAGGAAGCUUUGCCCGGGCUCUGUCCUCUCUUCCCACAUGGAAAGGGGGUCAGGACAACUGUCUAAGCAGAUGACCCUGCCUCGGAAAUGAUCUCAUCUUGAGGGCACUCAGACCAGUCCUCCAACCUGCCCCCUACUUCCUAUCCCUAAAGUCCUUUGUCAGAUGAGCUGAAAGGUGUGACACUAACUGGAAAGAUAAACAGGAUGAUUAAAAAUCAAAGUGUUGGCCAGGCGCGGUGGCUCACGCCUGUAAUUCC
rnacentral:lncRNA from 1 species